AUCGGCAACACUGCAAGAAAAACUUAUGCGCUAAAGACUUUGCAAACAUAUUUCAAUAACUUGAGAUAUCUGCAAAAAUAAAGUUCUUAACGGCGUGUUUUCAUUCUGUCCAGCCCGUGUGUAAUCAUAUGUGAACCCCAUUGAUCCUGCGCCCUGAAUAAUAUGUGUCCCGUAUUCCAAACGAGCAAGUUUACGCCGUCCGACGCGUAAUUAUGAAAACCUAGGUUCUCUGAGAACCUAGGUUCUCAGAGAACCUAGGUUUUCAAAGAACCUAGGUUCUCAAGAGAACCUGGGUUCUAUGAGAACCUUGGUUCUCAUAAUGAGAACCUAGGUUCUCAUGAGAACCUAGGUUUUCUGAAAACCUAGGUUCUCAGAGAACCUAGGUUCUCAGAGAACCUAUGGUUCCCAAAUGAAAACCACGGAUAUGGCAAGCAGUUCGACGCAUAAUCCCAAGAAACUAGGUUUUUCAUGAGAACCUAGGUUCUCAUUUGAAAACUUUGGUUCUUGACGCCAUGUGCAAUCUUCAAG